GCCCCCGUAGCUCAGAGGAUAGAGCGCCGGUUUCCUAAACCGGGCGUCGGAAGUUCGAGUCUUCCCGGGGGCGCCA
rnacentral:tRNA from 1 species